ACGAACGCUGGCGGCGUGCCUCAUACAUGCAAGUAGAACGCUGAAGAGAGGAGCUUGCUCUUCUUGGAUGAGUUGCGAACGGGUGAGUAACGCGUAGGUAACCUGCCUGGUAGCGGGGGAUAACUAUUGGAAACGAUAGCUAAUACCGCAUAAAAUUGAUUAUUGCAUGAUAAUUAAUUGAAAGAUGCAACUGCAUCACUACCAGAUGGACCUGCGUUGUAUUAGCUAGUUGGUGAGGUAACGGCUCACCAAGGCGACGAUACAUAGCCGACCUGAGAGGGUGAUCGGCCACACUGGGACUGAGACACGGCCCAGACUCCUACGGGAGGCAGCAGUAGGGAAUCUUCGGCAAUGGGGGGAACCCUGACCGAGCAACGCCGCGUGAGUGAAGAAGGUUUUCGGAUCGUAAAGCUCUGUUGUAAGAGAAGAACGGGUGUGAGAGUGGAAAGUUCACACUGUGACGGUAUCUUACCAGAAAGGGACGGCUAACUACGUG
rnacentral:rRNA from 1 species